rnacentral:lncRNA from 1 species
GUUUUUCAAGCAGAUUUCCUACAAAGCACAGUUACUGUAAUGCUGAGCCCGUGAUGGCUACAGUCAAAGAAGUUGGCUUCCGGGAAGGCUUUGUAGCCUCUGUACCAUUGACCAGUUGGUAUACUUACCGCGCAAUCUAUCAGCAUCGUCCAUUUUACUGGUUGCCCCUCAGCACAGCCCUACUACCACACAAAGUGGGAAAAAGCCAGUUACAAGCAGUCCAGUAGCUUGAUUCUCUCUGCUCACCGCUUCCCAAUCCCCCCUCAGUCUCGAUGGCUAGCUGGUGCCCUCCAGUUGCCCACGUCUCAGCACCCUCCUUCCCAUGGCCAGGGCAGCCUUUUGACCUGCAGCAGUGGCAAGUUUGCGUG